rnacentral:lncRNA from 1 species
CUCAAUUUAACCAUCGGUAAUUCCAGCAGAGAGCUUUGAGCUUGUUUGGUGCAGGGGAAUUGCCUUUUGAAACAACAGUCUGGAGGCAUGCCAAGCCAAGAUGUAGCCACAGUUUACCUAGGGCAUCAGACAGUGUGUUAUUAUUUCCUGUAGCCAUACCUGACUCUGGCGUGGAGCUAUGGACUCUGCAAGGAAGAGUUAUGUCCUCCUCAUCUGAAGAGAAGCCAGGCUGGUAGGAAGUGUGAGCAAGUGUGUCCUGAUAACAUCAGGGAGAAGGCAGCAUCCAAUGGCUUUGACUUUCCAUCGAUUGGAAAAUAAGCAGUCACUGAAAAGCCAGGGCGUCCUAGCAUAUCUCCAAAACACAAAGGUUCGCGUUCAGUAUGUGUCUGUAUCUCUGUCCCCUUUUCUCCCUUUACCUAGAUGUCUCUCCGUCUUUGGAAUUCCCAGAGAUGCCUAUGAAUGUGAGUGCCCUGUCACAGAGCUUCUGAGUUUGAAUUCUCACAUGGGUUUCUGUCAGGCUCCAUCUGCUUCCAGAACUGUGUGCAAACACUUACAUCCAAAACCCAGAAAAAAAGGAGGGGAGACAUAAAACAUUUUUAUUUGUUCUGACCAGAAAAGACAUAUGAUCCAGAUUGUGUGAAAGAAAGACCGAAAAAGAAAGGGAAACAGAUUGUCGGUCCUGGUCACGGCCCACAAGGAGCCUCUCAUGCCCAAACAGAGAGGUGCCUGCCUACGAGUAAACCAAGACGCAGCGCGUAUCCCACGCCCGACAAUGCAACAUUCUGAACCACUUCCCUCAUACAGACCCGGGAUGACAUUUUGACUUUCUAACUUGUUGCUGUAUGGGAUUGAACAAAUCAUUUAGCCUGAGACUGUUCCCUGCUUUGUACAACAGUGCCUAGGAAAUGCUAAUGAGAAAACGGGAGUGGUAGCGAUAACGGUAAUAGUGAUAAUGCUGCUAGUGGAGGAAAGAUGGCGACGGUGGUGAUGAUUCCGUCAAGAUGUGAUGGUGGCGAUAACAGUAGUGGCCGCGUAGAUGGUACAGAGAUGAUGGUGAUGCUGGUAGAGGUGGAGACAGCAGGAGUAGUGAUGACGACAGCGGUGAUGGAGGCCAUGGUGGCGGCUGCAGGGUAACCCUGUGAUCCGUGCUGGUGUUCGUGGUAGUCCGUGGUGGUGGUAGCAGAGGCAAUAAUGACAAUAGCUAAGGUGGCGGUGGUGGUGUUAGCCGGAGGUGGUAACAGUGGUGACGGUGGAGAUGGUUCUGAAGAACCGAACCGUGAAGCAAUUUUGCAGAAACUGUGUUCUGUGGAGGUUUGGGGAAGUAUCGGACAGUGGGGAUAUGAGAGCUGAGUUGGGACCCAAGCUCAAGUCCGAAGCCAUGACCAGCAAUCCAUGCCGUCUCUCACCCCUCCAUCUCGCAUCUGCAUCGCAUCUGCAAACUGGGCAUUAAUCUACACAAAGGUGAAAAGUCGAUUUGUAAAUGGUGACGGACUCUAUAAACAUGGGGAGUUUGUUUAUUCUCUGGUUC